GUAGAGAGAGGCAUCCUCUCACUCAUGGACUCCGUCUGCUGCCUACUCCACCCGCUGCCUACUCCACCCAGUCUCCUGGAGGAAGGGUCUGGAAAAAGGCUUGCUGAGAGGACUGAAUGAGAAAACCUAUGCACUGUCUGAGGAUGACUGCUGGCACCAGGAGCUCUCAAUGCAGCCUCACCUGACAGCUGAAAACUCUGAAAAUUGUCUUGAUGUUUGAAACCAUCAAACCAGCCACGCAGAGCAAUAAAAGGUGCCACUUCUGCAGGAUUUGGAGAUUUCUGUUUAAGGUCUUUGUAUAUAGAUUGUGCUUUCUCUUUGAUUGUGGAAAAGAUUAUUCGUGACUUUUUUGCUGUUUUGUGCAUUCUUAUACAGUUUGGUUCAGCUGGGUGCAGUUUUCUGCCUUCACCUAAUAUUUCUCCUGUAUAAAAUCACCCACAGCCAAAUAAAUGCGAAAUUUGU